UGCUAGGACUGUAGGAGUGAACCGCCU
rnacentral:piRNA from 1 species